rnacentral:rRNA from 2 species
UAAGCAUAUCAAUAAGCGGAGGAAAAGAAACCAACAGGGAUUGCCCCAGUAACGGCGAGUGAAGCGGCAACAGCUCAAAUUUGAAAUCUGGCUUCGGCCCGAGUUGUAAUUUGUAGAGGAUGCUUUUGGUGAGGUGCCUUCUGAGUUCCCUGGAACGGGACGCCAGAGAGGGUGAGAGCCCCGUAUAGUUGGACACCGAGCCUCUGUAAAGCUCCUUCGACGAGUCGAGUAGUUUGGGAAUGCUGCUCAAAAUGGGAGGUAUAUCUCUUCUAAAGCUAAAUACUGGCCAGAGACCGAUAGCGCACAAGUAGAGUGAUCGAAAGAUGAAAAGCACUUUGAAAAGAGGGUUAAAUAGUACGUGAAAUUGUUGAAAGGGAAGCGCUUGUGACCAGACUUGUGCCCGGCUGAUCAUCCAGUGUUCUCACUGGUGCACUCUGCCGGGCUCAGGCCAGCGUCGGUUCUCGCAGGGGGACAAAAGCUUCGGGAACGUAGCUCCUCCGGGAGUGUUAUAGCCCGUUGCUCAAUACCCCUGCGGGGACCGA